GAUGAAGAACGUAGCGAAAUGCGAUAAGUAAUGUGAAUUGCAGAAUUCAGUGAAUCAUCGAGUCUUUGAACGCACAUUGCGCCCCCUGGUAUUCCGGGGGGCAUGCCUGUCCGAGCAUCAUUGCUGCCCUCAAGCACGGCUUGUGUGUUGGGCCCCCGUCCCCGGUUUCCCCCGGGGACGGGCCCGAAAGGCAGCGGCGGCACCGCGUCCGGUCCUCGAGCGUAUGGGGCUUUGUCACCCGCUCUGUAGGCCCGGCCGGCGCCAGCCGACACCCAACUUUAUUUCUAAGGUUGACCUCGGAUCAGGUAGGGAUACCCGCUGAACUUAAGCAUAUCAAUAAGCGGAGGA
rnacentral:misc_RNA from 1 species